GUAGAUCAUGAUAUUGGUGAGCAGAUCAUCCAGGUUAAACUUCCUGAAUAGGUACCUCAGCAAUUUUCAAAGGGGACUUCAUCUCGGAUUUCUGCCGCACGCUAAGAAUGAUCCUUUAUUACCAAAUGUAUCAGGCUUUGUAGCCUGUAUGUGAGCGUAGCCAGACUCCGACAAGAUCCUGUAGAGCCC